UGUAAUAAGUGUGACCGGACUUCAAAAUGUAAUUAACCCGGUCGUUGAAAUCCCUUCACCAUGGAAUUGGAAUCCUAUAAACAAAAUCUGUACCCGACAAGGUCAGUAUGAAGCUUAUUUCAAUGGCGAAAUCUCAUUUGCCUGCAUAUGCUUCGUCUUCCGCAAAAAUCCACCCCGAGAUAGACCCCAAUUCCUGCUCCCUUGAGAAGUUCAAGCUUUAGGAGACCAGAGCGAGGUUCUAUUUAAUUGGGAGUGACAGGAACAAGAGGUUUUUUUGAGUGUUGAAAAUUAAUCGAUCAGAGCAUCAGCCAGGAUCCGGUGUUUUAUUCCCCUCAGGAAAUCAAAAACUUGCUUCAACAGAUUGAUGAAGGAAAUCGUGCUACCGGCGGCCUCAACUCUGUGGCUAAGGUUUUUGGUAUUGCAGGUUGCAUUAAGUUUUUGGAGUCAUAUUAUUUGAUUUUGGUUACCAAGCGAAGACAAAUUGGAUGUAUAUGCGGUCAUGCAAUAUACAGUAUAAAUGAGACCCAAUUGAUUACGAUUCCUCAUGUCUCUAUUCAAUCAGAUGUGGCGCAUUCGAAAAUCAAAUUCAGCACUCAAUUGCUUGCAAUGGAAAUCUGUGGAAGACAAUCAUUCUUUCACUCUUGGAACAAGCUUUUGGCUGGCUAUUAUCUCUUCACUCUUGUCAUGAAGUAAUUAACCUCGUGGCCAGUUUGGCUUUUAAGUGAAGAAGGAGGCCAUGUAUUAAGUCAGGAUUACAGUACAGUGUCAGCUACUUACAGGCCAUCUCCUGCAGAUGCAAAUUUUUGAUUGAAGUAUAACGUCAGAUCAGUGCAGUAGGUGAUGUUGGUUUUUGGCUGGUGGGUGAUGGG